UACGUAGGGUCCGAGCGUUGUCCGGAAUUACUGGGCGUAAAGAGCUCGUAGGUGGUUUGUCGCGUUGUUCGUGAAAACUCACAGCUCAACUGUGGGCGUGCGGGCGGAUACGGGCAGACUGGAGUACUGCAGGGGGAGACUGGGAAGUUCCUGGUGUAGCGGUGGAAGUGCGCAGAUAUCAGGAGGAACACCGGUGGGCGAAGGCGGGGUCUCUGGGCAGUAACUGACGCUGGAGGAGCGAAAGCGUGGGGAGCGAACAGG
rnacentral:rRNA from 1 species